CCUACGGGGGGCUGCAGUGGGGAAUUUUGGACAAUGGGGGCAACCCUGAUCCAGCCAUGCCGCGUGAGUGAAGAAGGCCUUCGGGUUGUAAAGCUCUUUCGGCCGGGAAGAAAUCGCAUCAGCUAAUACCUGGUGUGGAUGACGGUACCGGAAUAAGAAGCACCGGCUAACUACGUGCCAGCAGCCGCGGUAAUACGUAGGGUGCGAGCGUUAAUCGGAAUUACUGGGCGUAAAGCGUGCGCAGGCGGUUGUGUAAGACAGGCGUGAAAUCCCCGGGCUCAACCUGGGAACUGCGCUUGUGACUGCACAGCUAGAGUACGGCAGAGGGGGGUGGAAUUCCACGUGUAGCAGUGAAAUGCGUAGAGAUGUGGAGGAACACCGAUGGCGAAGGCAGCCCCCUGGGCCGAUACUGACGCUCAUGCACGAAAGCGUGGGUAGCAAACAGGAUUAGAUACCCUGGUAGUC
rnacentral:rRNA from 1 species